GAUGAACGCUAGCUACAGGCUUAACACAUGCAAGUCGAGUGGCAGCAUGGUCUUAGCUUGCUAAGGCCGAUGGCGACCGGCGCACGGGUGAGUAACACGUAUCCAACCUGCCGUCUACUCUUGGACAGCCUUCUGAAAGGAAGAUUAAUACAAGAUGGCAUCAUGAGUCCGCAUGUUCACAUGAUUAAAGGUAUUCCGGUAGACGAUGGGGAUGCGUUCCAUUAGAUAGUAGGCGGGGUAACGGCCCACCUAGUCUUCGAUGGAUAGGGGUUCUGAGAGGAAGGUCCCCCACAUUGGAACUGAGACACGGUCCAAACUCCUACGGGAGGCAGCAGUGAGGAAUAUUGGUCAAUGGGCGAGAGCCUGAACCAGCCAAGUAGCGUGAAGGAUGACUGCCCUAUGGGUUGUAAACUUCUUUUAUAAAGGAAUAAAGUCGGGUAUGGAUACCCGUUUGCAUGUACUUUAUGAAUAAGGAUCGGCUAACUCCGUG
rnacentral:rRNA from 1 species